rnacentral:piRNA from 1 species
UGGUCUUGAACUCACAGAGAUCUGCAG